rnacentral:rRNA from 1 species
AGAGUUUGAUCAUGGCUCAGGAUAAACGCUGGCGGCGUGCCUAAAACAUGCAAGUCGAACGGCUGCCCGCCUUCGGGUGGGUGGCAGUGGCGGACGGCUGAGUAACACGUGGGUGACCUGCCCCGGAGCGGGGGAUAACUGCCCGAAAGGGUGGCUAAUACCGCAGACAUCGGUGCUUCGGUGUGCCGAUUGAACCUGAGGGGUUCUGGGAGGGGCCCGCGGCCGAUUAGCUGGCUGGUGGGGUAACGGCCUACCAGGGCGACGAUCGGUAGCUGGUCUGAGAGGAUGAUCAGCCAGACUGGGACUGCGAACGGCCCAGACUCCUACGGGAGGCAGC